GCUCAUGUGGUAUAGUGGUUAGCAUUUCAGUUUGUGGAUCAAUUCGACUCACUGACGACGGCGGUUCGAUUCCGCCCAUGGGCA